CCUGCACCCCGAAUAUGACUCUGGAUAUGGAAUGAUGUCAAAUCCAAUAUCAUACUCAUAUUUCUCUUAAUCUUAUAUGAUGAUUCAAUUAAUAAAAUAUUAGAAACUCUUUCUAAUUUUUAUUUUACUUUGAUCAAAGACUUCCUGAAUCAUCAAUCGAUCAGAACAAGUAGGAUGCGAUUUCCUCUUACCAGGAGUGAUCGAUUUCAUGUUGACCUACUCACAACCUCCAUACACAUUCUACCAUAUCUAUAAUAUCCCGUACAUGACUAAGUCAUGAAUGAGUAUGAACCAAAAAAUAUGGAUUCAUGUAUACAAGGUUCUAUGGUAGUCUCAGGUCAAAGGAUUACAUGCACAACUCCCACUAUAAGAAAACAUCUCUUGACAGGUAAGUAAAUUCCAUAAGAUGUUUCUUAAGUUGGAUCAAUUCAGUGAACUCAUUCUCUAAUGAGCACCCACUUCCUUGUAUUAGUGUCUCACACAAGUGGCA
rnacentral:lncRNA from 1 species